rnacentral:lncRNA from 1 species
GAGACAGAGACAGAGAGCUCUUGAUAUCCUGUGUUGGACCCUAUGGGAAUUUUGAUCUGGGGUAGAGUGACAUCCAUGUAUGUAAAUCUGAGAAUUAUGGAUAACUCCAUUUUCUUUUUCUUUUUCCUACUAGGCUUAUUUUCUAGGAACCCAGGCUACUUUCAUAAUGAAAAGACAGAGAUGGAAAAGAGGGUGUCUGACUGCUGGACAAACAGUUACCAGGUGUGACUAAAGCAUAUCCUGCCAUUAUGCCGAAAGGCUGACACAUUCCAUGUAGGCAGACCUUUCCUCCAGAGCUUCUGGAAGGAAAUAAAACUCCUUCAAGGACUGAGUGAUUAGCUGUAUUUCUUCAUGACUAUUUGUAAGCCAGAAUAAAUCCUUUCUCCCUG